GGUGGCGAGUGGCGAACGGGUGAGUAAUACAUCGGAAUGUACCUUGUAGUGGGGGAUAGCUCGGCGAAAGCCGGAUUAAUACCGCAUACGCUCUGAGGAGGAAAGCGGGGGACCUUCGGGCCUCGUGCUACAAGAGCAGCCGAUGUCAGAUUAGCUAGUUGGUGGGGUAAAAGCUCACCAAGGCGACGAUCUGUAGCUGGUCUGAGAGGACGACCAGCCACACUGGGACUGAGACACGGCCCAGACUCCUACGGGAGGCAGCAGUGGGGAAUUUUGGACAAUGGGCGAAAGCCUGAUCCAGCAAUGCCGCGUGUGUGAAGAAGGCCUUCGGGUUGUAAAGCACUUUUGUCCGGAAAGAAAUCCUUUGGGUUAAUACCUCGGGGGGAUGACGGUACCGGAAGAAUAAGCACCGGCUAACUACGUGCCAGCAGCCGCGGUAAUACGUAGGGUGCAAGCGUUAAUCGGAAUUACUGGGCGUAAAGCGUGCGCAGGCGGUUUUGUAAGACGGAUGUGAAAUCCCCGGGCUUAACCUGGGAACUGCAUUCGUGACUGCAAGGCUAGAGUAUGGCAGAGGGGGGUAGAAUUCCACGUGUAGCAGUGAAAUGCGUAGAGAUGUGGAGGAAUACCGAUGGCGAAGGCAGCCCCCUGGGCCAAUACUGACGCUCAUGCACGAGAGCGUGGGGAGCACACAGGAUUAGAUACCCUGGUAGUCCACGCCCUAAACGAUGUCAACU
rnacentral:rRNA from 1 species